GGGGUUAUGGCUCAUUGGUAGAGCGUUCUCCUAGCAUGUGAGAGGCCCAGGGUUCAGUCCUCAGUACCACA
rnacentral:tRNA from 1 species